GACGAACGCUGGCGGCGUGCCUAACACAUGCAAGUCGAACGGAACUGUUUUGAAAGAUUUCUUCGGAAUGAAUUUGAUUUAGUUUAGUGGCGGACGGGUGAGUAACGCGUGAGUAACCUGCCUUCAAGAGGGGAAUAACAUUCUGAAAAGAAUGCUAAUACCGCAUGACAUAUCGGAACCACAUGGUUUUGAUAUCAAAGAUUUUAUCGCUUGAAGAUGGACUCGCGUCCGAUUAGUUAGUUGGCGAGGUAACGGCUCACCAAGACCGCGAUCGGUAGCCGGACUGAGAGGUUGAACGGCCACAUUGGGACUGAGACACGGCCCAGACUCCUACGGGAGGCAGCAGUGGGGGAUAUUGCGAAAUGGGGGCAACCCUGACGCAGCAACGCCGCGUGAAGGAUGAAGGUUUUCGGAUUGUAAACUUCUUUUAUUAAGGACGAAAAAUGACGGUACUUAAUGAAUAAGCUCCGGCUAACUACGUG
rnacentral:rRNA from 1 species